rnacentral:rRNA from 1 species
UGACAACCCUAGAGAUAGGGCUUUCCCUUUCGGGGACAGAGUGACAGGUGGUGCAUGGUUGUCGUCAGCUCGUGUCGUGAGAUGUUGGGUUAAGUCCCGCAACGAGCGCAACCCUUGAUCUUAGUUGCCAGCAUUCAGUUGGGCACUCUAAGGUGACUGCCGGUGACAAACCGGAGGAAGGUGGGGAUGACGUCAAAUCAUCAUGCCCCUUAUGACCUGGGCUACACACGUGCUACAAUGGACAGAACAAAGGGCUGCAAGACCGCAAGGUUUAGCCAAUCCCAUAAAUCUGUUCUCAGUUCGGAUCGCAGUCUGCAACUCGACUGCGUGAAGCUGGAAUCGCUAGUAAUCGCGGAUCAGCAUGCCGCGGUGAAUACGUUCCCGGGCCUUGUACACACCGCCCGUCACACCACGAGAGUUUGCAACACCCGAAGUCGGUGAGGUAACCUUUAUGGAGCCAGCCGCCGAAGGUGGGGCAGAUGAUUGGGGUGAAGUCGUAACAAGGUAGCCGUAAAUCG